rnacentral:lncRNA from 1 species
UGGGCUUCUCAUUCUUGGGCUGCUGUAGGUCAAAUUUGAGGUGUCAAAACCCAACAUAUAUGAUCGUGGACCCCUUUGCGAACUUGGCCUCAAAAUUUGGUGAAGCUCUAAAGUCAUCUAUGGCCUUCAACUUGGCUUCAGCUAUAGCUUUUGACUUCUUAGUCUUCACUUGGGCCUCGACAAGGUUCACCUUAUCUUUGUAGCUUUGAUCACUACCUC